CCAUCUACACUGCUUAACGCGUUGCAGACAGCAAGAGCUGCUGCUGUGGUUUCAGGCAUGUCGAGGUCGGAGAGCGAUGUCCAUUGAGUGUAGCACCGAGUGAAGAUACUGCAGACGACGAUAGACGAUGCCGCGGCGUCCAACUAUCGAAUGUGGUAGGCGUCAGCCUUCAGGAACAACGGUGAAAAAUAGCUGGAAAAAAAUUACAAGGUAAUAACGAUAAGGACGAAGACGGACAAGGACACUCACAUCGAGCUCACGAUUUCAUUCGAAAAGGCCGUUGCGUUGUUGUUCUUGGAGGAGUCCAUGCCUGCAGCAGUGAUGGCGAAAAGUCCGGCUCCGAGAGCUGCCGCGGCGUCGCUACACUUCGGCACGUGCGCUCGCUACCGGU